rnacentral:rRNA from 1 species
GUAGGGAAUAUUGGGCAAUGGAGGCAACUCUGACCCAACCAUGCCGCGUGCAGGAUGACGGCCCUCUGGGUUGUAAACUGCUUUUAUACGGGAAGAAAAAAUACUACGUGUAGUAUACUGACGGUACCGUAAGAAUAAGGAUCGGCUAACUCCGUGCCAGCAGCCGCGGUAAUACGGAGGAUCCAAGCGUUGUCCGGAUUUAUUGGGUUUAAAGGGUGCGUAGGCGGAUCUUUAAGUCAGUGGUGAAAGCCUGCAGCUUAACUGUAGAAUUGCCAUUGAAACUGAAGAUCUUGAAUGUGGUUAAAGUAGGCGGAAUGUAUCAUGUAGCGGUGAAAUGCUUAGAUAUGAUACAGAACACCGAUAGCGAAGGCAGCUUGCUGAACCAUUAUUGACGCUGAGGCACGAAAGCGUGGGGAGCGAACAGGAUUAGAAACCCGUGUAGUCC